UGGGGAAUUUUGGACAAUGGGCGAAAGCCUGAUCCAGCAAUGCCGCGUGUGUGAAGAAGGCCUUCGGGUUGUAAAGCACUUUUGUCCGGAAAGAAAUCCUUGGCUCUAAUACAGUCGGGGGAUGACGGUACCGGAAGAAUAAGCACCGGCUAACUACGUGCCAGCAGCCGCGGUAAUACGUAGGGUGCAAGCGUUAAUCGGAAUUACUGGGCGUAAAGCGUGCGCAGGCGGUUUGCUAAGACCGAUGUGAAAUCCCCGGGCUCAACCUGGGAACUGCAUUGGUGACUGGCAGGCUAGAGUAUGGCAGAGGGGGGUAGAAUUCCACGUGUAGCAGUGAAAUGCGUAGAGAUGUGGAGGGAUACCGAUGGCGAAGGCAGCCCCCUGGGCCAAUACUGACGCUCAUGCACGAAAGCGUGGGGAGCAAACAGGAUUAGAUACCCUGGUAGUCCACGCCCUAAACGAUGUCAACUAGUUGUUGGGGAUUCAUUUCCUUAGUAACGUAGCUAACGCGUGAAGUUGACCGCCUGGGGAGUACGGUCGCAAGAUUAAAACUCAAAGGAAUUGACGGGGUCAUAGCUG
rnacentral:rRNA from 1 species